GAGCCCUCUCCCUUCUCUCUCCCCGAUUCUCUCUUCCUCUCCGACCUCUUCACCUUCUUCCGGCCAUAACUCCUCCAUCCGACGACGGAUUUUGACGUAUAAGAUGUCGUUGGAAAGCUCUCUUCCUUCUCUUCAUUUCUGGGUUCGUUUCGUAGCUUAAUAUGAACUGUGGAAGGUGCAGCAACGAGCAGAAGAGGACGGUCACUGUAGCAGUUUGUUAUUUCCGGCGAUAUCUUCCGAUUCCGGCAGUCUCCGGCCACCAAACCGGCGUCGAAGGUGCGGUUUUUGCCAAGGAUCAUUUCCCCCCUAGCCUUGAGCCACGAUUUGCAGUGUGGAGGUCGAAUCGAAGAAAUUUCAAAUCCUAGGGUUCUUGAAUUUUCUGGAAAUUUUUUCACCGGCCAAAUUGGAGCUCUUCCAGGGCAAUGCCGCGAGCUACGGUUAAAUGAAGGAACUCGUUUGCGUGGUCGCCCAAUAGUACUUUUGCAGGUGAAUUAGUGGAAGUCGGGCGUACAUGACAUUUGAGGCAUAGUUGUCACUACUUCCGCAGUGUAGGAUCCCUUGAUCCUUUACUCUUCUUUUUAUAUCCCUGUGUAUAGUAGUAUUGCUCUGAUAACCUUUGGGAUUAGUAUUGUUGAGUUUUGUGUUUUGUGUAAUGUGAAAGUAGAGUUGUUGGUAAUUGGGAGCAGGGUGGCUCCAGGAGUAUAAGGUUGGUUUGCUUGAAGUGUUUUUGUGUGUUUUAUAGGUUUUUGGGUAGUCCAUUUUAGAGGUGACUCUGCCGAAUUUUUGGUAGAGUUAUCCCUAAGGUGGGCCCCACAAGGUCACCUCGGAUUUCAGGGUGAAAUUCGGGGUGGGUCCUGUCAAUUUGGUAUCAGAGCAUUAAGUUGUUAGGUUCUGUAGACUCGUUUCUAUUCUGUUACCUUAUAUGCUUGGUGUUGCCCAGUACCUCUCGAGUGAUGGCCCGACUGCAGCGGUUCCCCAUCGUGUACUCUUCGGUAACUCCAAAAUAAAUGUGACCAGGUGAGUAGAGAGAUGUCGGUGGAGCAAGGCUCGCUUAAGUACCAUUAAUCUCAAAACCUUCCUAGACAUCACACUUACUUUGGAUGAGCCUAGUUGAAGAAAAACUAAACCAUUGACAUUUACUACAAAAAUUAUAUGGCAAGUGCCUAUUACAUCUCUUGGAAAAAUAAAAGACUUAAACAAAAUUGCCAGUCUCUUGAUCUUGGCCUUUGAAAUCUUCCACCCUCAGAUUCUCAGAUUGAGAUCAUCAUCUUGAUCUUCUUGUUCCAUCUAAUUUGCUUCCCUAUCUUCACUAUACACCUUGUACGAAUUUGUAACUUUCUGGGACGCAUUACAUGCAUUUGCCCAAUAUCCUGGUGCUCCACAUCGAAGACAAGCAUCUUUAUGGUCUGGCCCCUUGAUCAAGGCGCCUUUGGGGUGCGUUUUGGAUGGCUACUUCCCUUGGUGGCAUCACCACCAUAGCCAGAGGCACUGCCACCCUCUCUCUUCACACGUUGACCUUCAUGGUUCCGUGCCCGCUGUCUUAGCGAUUACCUUCCUCUUUAGGGAUACCAAAACAUCCAGAAUUAUCCCUAGAUUUAGUUCCCACAGGUCUAGAGUUAUAGUUUUUCAUAAGGAUGUUGUCGUGAUUCUCAGCUACAUUCAUGGCUCCAAUUAGCUCAUGAAACCUUGUGAUGCGUCAUGCAUUGACAUCUAUCCGAUAGUUAUUGGCAGCCAUCAUUGCAGAGAUGAGGAAGGUAGAGAGAGUCCUCUCGAUCAUCAUCGUAUCAGUGAUAUUCUUUCCACAGAUUUCCAUCAAAGACUUGAUGAGAAGGACUUCCGAGUUAUAGUCAAGUACAGACUUGAUGAGAAGGACUUUCAAGGUAUAGUCAAGUACAGACUUGAUGAGAAGGACUUCCAAGUUAUAGUCAGGUAUAUACUUGAAAUCAUAGAAGCAGAGAUUGUUCCAUCUCACUUCUAAAUCAGGAAGCAGGGAGUCACGAACGUUGCCAAAUCGUUCUUUGAGUUCGACCCACAUCUUUUUGGGGUCUUCUUCAUUCAGGUAUUCAUUUUGGAGCGAGUCAUUCAUGUGAAAGCAGCAACUUCUCUAGGAGUAGGCACGUUCUGACUAGGCUUAAGAAUCGUAUCCAGGAUUCCUU